GAGCUUCAGUCAUACUGGAAUACUACCACACACUGUUCUGGUCUGGUCUAAUCUGGUCUAGUCUGGUCUGGUCUGGUCUGGUCUGGGGAUAAACAGCUCACAUCUCAGCUUCACAGUCAGUUUUCCUGAGGAAGAUGAUGAUGAGGAGGGUUCUAGCCCUGCUGUCUCUGCUCUCUCUGUGUGUCUCUCAGAAGUGGAAGCAGGAGACGUCAGAGUGGGAUAGAGAUAAAAGCCAGACUAAGAUCUGCUCCAACCUGACCCAGGUGCUGGACAACUGGAAGUUUGCCAUCAUCAACCAGGUGAAGGACCUGC